rnacentral:rRNA from 1 species
CCUACGGGAGGCAGCAGUGGGGGAUAUUGCACAAUGGGGGGAACCCUGAUGCAGCGACGCCGCGUGGGCGAAGAAGUAUUUCGGUGUGUAAAGCCCUAUCAGCAGGGAAGAAGAAAUGACGGUACCUAAGUAAGAAGCACCGGCUAAAUACGUGCCAGCAGCCGCGGUAAUACGUAGGGUGCAAGCGUUAUCCGGAUUUACUGGGUGUAAGGGGAGCGCAGGCGGCACGGCAAGCCUGAUGUGAAAGCCCGCGGCCCAACCGCGGGACUGCAUGGGGAACUACGUGGCUGGAGUGCCGGAGAGGUAGGCGGAAUUCCUAGUGUAGCGGUGAAAUGCGUAGAUAUCAGGAGGAACACCAGUGGCGAAGGCGGCCUACUGGACGGUGACUGACGCUGAGGCUCGAAAGCGUGGGGAGCAAACAGGAUUAGAUACCCCUGUAGUC